GCUCCCGUGGCGCAAUCGGUUAGCGCGUUCGGCUGUUAACCGAAAGGUUGGUGGUUCAAAUCCACCCGGGAGCG
rfam:Globodera pallida, Lindley, WGS project CBXT01000000 data, contig: pathogens_Gpal_scaffold_177_contig_29